CCUGACCCGGGGGGCUGGGGGCCUGAGCAGUGGGAAGCCCAAGUCUGAGACCCCAGAAAACCCCCUCACAUAAUAAAUCCCACGUCCUAAGUGAACCCCAGAAGGCUGGCUAAGACCCAGGAUGUCCCCCUGUAAGGUGCCAGGUGUCCAGUCACCCCACCGGGCCCCCUCCUUUCUCCCAUUCGGUGAUAAAUGGUGUCCGCUGUGAGGGCACACGGGUUUAACUUGUGAGUGGGGCUGAGAGGUCAUCAGGUGGUACCUGCUUCCCCAGGAGUGGGCUCAUCAUUCAUUUUCUGAGGUGCCUUCAUGCCACAAACGCUGUCCAUUCGCAUCCACAGAGGGCCUGUGAAGGGAGGCCCCCUCUGACAGACAGACAGACAGACAGACAGACACUGUUUUGCCAGCACCUCCCGUUAACACUCAGAUCUCUGCCGGCGCUGCCUGAGCCUGACAACUCUUCACAGCCCUGCUUGUUCCAAAGUGCUCAGCCGAGGCGUUUCAAGGGCAGGUAACCAAGAACAUGAGAAUUUUUCCCCUUUGAUCCAUCAAAGCACUGGACCUAGAAAGCCAUUUCACAUCCAGAAGCCUGAACCCUCUUGGAACCACCAUCUUGGAAACUGCUGGUAUUUCAUGGAAAGCAAAUAAAUUAAAGG
rnacentral:lncRNA from 1 species